UUUAUGGAGAGUUUGAUCCUGGCUCAGGACGAACGCUGGCGGCGUGCCUAAUACAUGCAAGUCGAGCGGAUCUUCCCUUCGGGGAAGGUUAGCGGCGGACGGGUGAGUAACACGUAGGCAACCUGCCUGCAAGACCGGGAUAACAUUCGGAAACGAAUGCUAAUACCGGAUACGCAGUAUCCUCGCAUGGG
rnacentral:rRNA from 1 species